UGCAAGUCGAGCGGUAGCACGGGAGAGCUUGCUCUCUGGGUGACGAGCGGCGGACGGGUGAGUAAUGUCUGGGGAUCUGCCUGAUGGAGGGGGAUAACUACUGGAAACGGUAGCUAAUACCGCAUAACGUCGCAAGACCAAAGAGGGGGACCUUCGGGCCUCUUGCCAUCAGAUGAACCCAGAUGGGAUUAGCUAGUAGGUGGGGUAAUGGCUCACCUAGGCGACGAUCCCUAGCUGGUCUGAGAGGAUGACCAGCCACACUGGAACUGAGACACGGUCCAGACUCCUACGGGAGGCAGCAGUGGGGAAUAUUGCACAAUGGGCGCAAGCCUGAUGCAGCCAUGCCGCGUGUAUGAAGAAGGCCUUCGGGUUGUAAAGUACUUUCAGCGAGGAGGAAGGCAUUAAGGUUAAUAACCUUGGUGAUUGACGUUACUCGCAGAAGAAGCACCGGCUAACUCCGUGCCAGCAGCCGCGGUAAUACGGAGGGUGCAAGCGUUAAUCGGAAUUACUGGGCGUAAAGCGCACGCAGGCGGUUUGUUAAGUCGGAUGUGAAAUCCCCGGGCUCAACCUGGGAACUGCAUUCGAAACUGGCAAGCUUGAGUCUUGUAGAGGGGGGUAGAAUUCCAGGUGUAGCGGUGAAAUGCGUAGAGAUCUGGAGGAAUACCGGUGGCGAAGGCGGCCCCCUGGACAAAGACUGACGCUCAGGUGCGAAAGCGUGGGGAGCAAACAGGAUUAGAUACCCUGGUAGUCCACGCCGUAAACGAUGUCGACUUGGAGGUUGUGCCCUUGAGGCGUGGCUUCCGGAGCUAACGCGUUAAGUCGACCGCCUGGGGAGUACGGCCGCAAGGUUAAAACUCAAAUGAAUUGACGGGGGCCCGCACAAGCGGUGGAGCAUGUGGUUUAAUUCGAUGCAACGCGAAGAACCUUACCUACUCUUGACAUCCAGAGAACUUUCCAGAGAUGGAUUGGUGCCUUCGGGAACUCUGAGACAGGUGCUGCAUGGCUGUCGUCAGCUCGUGUUGUGAAAUGUUGGGUUAAGUCCCGCAACGAGCGCAACCCUUAUCCUUUGUUGCCAGCGGUUCGGCCGGGAACUCAAAGGAGACUGCCAGUGAUAAACUGGAGGAAGGUGGGGAUGACGUCAAGUCAUCAUGGCCCUUACGAGUAGGGCUACACACGUGCUACAAUGGCGCAUACAAAGAGAAGCGACCUCGCGAGAGCAAGCGGACCUCAUAAAGUGCGUCGUAGUCCGGAUUGGAGUCUGCAACUCGACUCCAUGAAGUCGGAAUCGCUAGUAAUCGUAGAUCAGAAUGCUACGGUGAAUACGUUCCCGGGCCUUGUACACACCGCCCGUCACACCAUGGGAGUGGGUUGCAAAAGAAGUAGGUAGCUUAACC
rnacentral:rRNA from 1 species